CGCUGAUUUUGGUCUUGGAAAGCCAGGACCUUCGGUGAGAACUUCGGCUCUAGAAAACGGUCUGUUCCAAUCGUACCACAUAGUAGCAAUGUAUGGGAUUUCCUGUCUCCCCAUAGUCUCUCCAGUAGAGUGGAUUAUCAAGCUCCUAAAUUUCCGCUAAUUUGGUGCACAUAGCUGGUACAGUCAGAAGUCUACACCCCCAGGAAAUUCUGACAGCUGAAUGAAAUGCUGAAAGUUCUGCCUGUCAGCAAGUUUACUUGGGAAAAGGGAAAAUGUUCCCUUCUGUGCAGAGGCAGAAAAUGAAGGAGAGAAGAUCCAUUACCCCAUGGGAUCGCCUCCUAGACCCACAGGAAAAAGAAAAGCCCAAAGAAUUUGGAUGAGAGAGCGCUUUCUUAGAGCUGGCUUCGUGGAAAGGGACCCACGAACUCAGCCUUAAAAGACAGGACUUCAGAAGGUGGACGAAGAGAUGGGCAACUGGUGAGUGAAAUGUGUUCAGCAACAUGAAUUAAUUCCUACCUUAAAACUUGGCCAGCACGAGGAUGUGGAGAAAAAGGAACUCUCCUGCACUGUUGGUGGCAGUGCAAACUGGUCCAACCACUAUGGAGAGC